CGGGACGGGUGAGUAACGCGUGGAUAACCUGCCUCACACAGGGGGAUAACAGUUAGAAAUGACUGCUAAUACCGCAUAAGCGCACAGUACCGCAUGGUACAGUGUGAAAAACUCCGGUGGUGUGAGAUGGAUCCGCGUCUGAUUAGGUAGUUGGUGGGGUAACGGCCCACCAAGCCGACGAUCAGUAGCCGACCUGAGAGGGUGACCGGCCACAUUGGGACUGAGACACGGCCCAA
rnacentral:rRNA from 1 species